rnacentral:tRNA from 1 species
GGUGGCUCAGCGGUAGAGAGCUUGCCUUGCAUGCAUGAGGCCCUGGGUUCAAUUCCUCAGCACCA